rnacentral:lncRNA from 1 species
UCCGUUGUUAUGAUGAAGUCCUUAGGACUAUUUAAGUUCGAUAAAGAGAGGAUUUAUCGAUUAGUCCUUAAAACUGUUCACGACCAAAUGAUAGGCUGUUAAUAAGGACGACAGCUUCUAUCGAGCAUAGGUCGCUGUAGGCCAUAUGAGUUGGUUGUCCUCUAAACCAAGGAGUGUGGAGACACUGGUAUGGCAUACAGGUG